rnacentral:tRNA from 2 species
UUGGGAUAUGGCCAAACUGGUAAGGCGUCUGACUCUGAAUCAGAAGAGUGCAGGUUCGAGCCCUGCUAUCCCAAU